CCUACGGGAGACAGCAGUGAGGAAUAUUGGUCAAUGGACGAGAGUCUGAACCAGCCAAGUAGCGUGAAGGAUGACUGCCCUAUGGGUUGUAAACUUCUUUUAUAUGGGAAUAAAAUGUUCCACGUGUGGGAUUUUGUAUGUACCAUAUGAAUAAGGAUCGGCUAACUCCGUGCCAGCAGCCGCGGUAAUACGGAGGAUCCGAGCGUUAUCCGGAUUUAUUGGGUUUAAAGGGAGCGUAGGUGGAUUGUUAAGUCAGUUGUGAAAGUUUGCGGCCCAACCGUAAAAUUGCAGUUGAAACUGGCAGUCUGGAGUACAGUAGAGGUGGGCGGAAUUCGUGGUGUAGCGGUGAAAUGCUUAGAUAUCACGAAGAACUCCGAUUGCGAAGGCAGCUCACUGGACUGCAACUGACACUGAGGCUCGAAAGUGUGGGUAUCAAACAGGAUUAGAUACCCGUGUAGUC
rnacentral:rRNA from 1 species